CAGUCGUAUUCUAAUGUAAAAUUCUAUCAAGCAAGACUUUUAUUUUGGUGUGGUGAUGUGACGUCACACUGCUGCGCUAGUGCGGUGUGAUUGUUCCUGUGUAAAACGAGUGAACAUUUGAAAGAGAACGCUUCGGUUAGAUAAGAGAACGAGAGUUUAGCCGCCUGCUGCACUACAAGCUGUAUGAGUCGACGCUCGUCGCUUCAGUCAAUGAUCUGAACGGCGCUACCGGUGAAUUAUAUAGCAGUGGCCCCGCCCCUUUUGGCGUGCUGAAGCGCCAUUGGUCUGUGCAGCUACACAAACGUGAACAAAUCAGGCUUCAGCAGAAAGAGGAUCUUCUGCGUCUGUGAUUCAGCUGGAGCUUACAGGUCACUCCCCCUCGCUCUCUGCUGCGCUAAAGCCCUCCCUCCACAGCUCCUCCCCCACAUCGGAGCCUGCCGUGAACGCGCGGGCUAGUAAACAAUGCAGGGUCACUGAUGACGGUGGAUUAACGGAUAUGGCACAUUCACAGGUAGGGACGAAACAUCAACAAUAUGCUUUACAUUGACUACAAACUUGGUCCUCCAAACAUUACGUAUUUUGUAAGACAUUUAUUGUAACUAUAUGAUGUUGCACUGUGUCUAUAAGUAAUAAAUAGCUAGUAAGAUAAUAUAAUGGUAAUUGACGUUACAGUAUGCAAGUAAUUAUUCUAUCGAUAUGUAAUGCUAAAUAAGGUUUGCAAGUAAAUUAGUUCAGCAACAUGACAAGCCAGUUAAUUAACAGGUUUCAAUUGUUGCUUUGCACAGUGCGUGACAUUUUACUUGUAUGUUAUGCGGCUAGAGUUUUGACACCGAGUCAAUGGGGUCCGACGAGGAAUUCACACCCACAGCGAGUUCGACGAGUCAACGGACGGGGAGGAGAGGAAACCGUGGUGUGCGCGGAGCAUCGGCAGGGGACGUGGGAGACAGGGCAGAGGUCGUCGAGUGGGUCCAACUCCCGAGCACCUCAGCAGAGAGGACAUGGAGCGUGUGGAAAAUUUAAGAUUUGAGAGGAUUGCUUAUGAACGUGAGCAAAUUCAACAAUUGAAUUUACAACAGACACAACAAGUGUUGCAGGAAUGUUUGGCACGGGAUCCAAGCCUAAUCUUCGAUGUCCUCACCCAUUUGGGACCUGCUUCUCCUCCAACAUUACCUCCUGUCCCCGGGCAACUAUCAUGGUGCAUCUGUCAGAGAUGCAGAGAAAAGCCCAAUGUGGUGGAGAGGAAGUGCUGUCUUCAACAGCCACCUUUUUGCAUUUCUACUCUACCACACAUGGAGACAUGCAUUCUGCAGGCGGGAGUCCUGCGUCUGACCUGCGUGCUGUAGUAUGACCUUCCAGAUGAAGGUGAAGACAACAGGCAAUUUAAACAUGCUGCAAAUAGACAGUUUGUGGCUUGGCAGUGUGGGACUCUGGGUCCUGGUCUCAGAGUGGUUAUCCCAAGGGCAAUCCAGGACUGCUUUCCAGAUCCUCAUGGACAAUACAGGGGAUUUAUUCCGAGGAGGGUGUGAUGUGGUGUGCUUUUUAAAAUUUGAAAGCUUUCUUGUUAUUUAAAAAUUUUGAUUAUUUAAAACAAUAUUUAUAUUACAGGUUUUGUAAAGAGAUAUCUGUGAAUGUGCAUCUGUGCAUACUUUCAGCAAGUUUAACCUCCUGGUGGAGCUGGUCGAAACUCCUGAUAAAACCUUCCCUCUCCAUAAUCACAGAAUUCCUCUGCGUGUCUCGCUUGUCAAUGUUGACUAUUGACAGGAUUUCUUUGGUGUCAUUUUCCAUGAACAAAACCCAGGACUGUCCAUAAAAAUUAACACAUGCACAAGAAACAAAAAUCUUGUCAAACCUGGGGACAACAGUGUCAGUAGAGAUGCAUGUGAACAUUGGCUGGGGUGCUAUAAUUAUACUUACCAAGUACUACAACAUUGUCCUUUGACUGCAGCCUGGAAACUACUUCUGCUCUGUUGCUAAUCCAGAAGUCUUUGAUGGGAUCAACACAGUAUGUGUCCUGUAUUUUAAAGAAGGUUGUCCGCUCCACUAUUCCCAUAUUCAUAAACUUGAAGAGCAAUGCAACUUUGGCAUAAUUGUUGCCAGAUAGUAAUAUAUUUGAUGCCAAAAGGAAGUCCCCAGCUUGCAUCCCGUACUUGAAAGUAGGCUGGGAGUUUCAUUGCCACACACAAUGAUUGUUUGGACAGAUCUGGAAAACAUAUUAACAAACACAUUUAACAUUACUUUCUAACUGUUACAAUGAUGCCCUUACAACGGAUUAAACAACACACAAAUGAACAUACCCAUUGCAUGAUGACUGCUCCUCUGGACUUGGUCUGGAUCUGGAAUGGUCCAGGGGCCCGACAUCCCACCAUUGUCAGUGGGUCUUUCACUGUACACAUUGGGAUUGGGAGCAACAGAUUCUCUGCGAGCUGUUUCAAACAGACAUGAUAAGUGAUGGCUGCAGGAUGAUCAAUGUCGUCCUCACUCUGGAUUUUAAUUAUUUCUGGAACUGGUUGGGAUUCUAUUAGCUCUGGGUCUGGAGUGUCAUGAACAGUGUCCUCCAAGCUGAUGACCUGAAGAGCAUCCAGACAUAUUUUUGGUUGAAUGGCACCACUAGUUCUGAUCGAAAAAUAAUAAUAAUAAAAAAAAACAUUUAGAAAAUUAAAGCUGCAAGCAGCGAUGAACGGGCCCUCGCACCCGGGCUCACCGGCAGCGAGUGGCUUUAGUUAAUAGGUGAACGGUGAGAAAUAUGCGUUUAAACUCAUAAAUAUAAGUAGAAUAUAUCAAUGUUUAUUCCAUAUAUGUGCCAAUCUUCCUGUUGCCAGCAGGUGGCGCUAUCAUUAUAAUGGAAUAUUGGCCUUCAGAUGUGUUCAGGGCAGGACUUUUAUCGAACAUGUGAGGUUUGGGGAGGAUUGGACAUUUUAUGCCUGAGUUACAACAACAUCCUAUUUCAUGGCGAAACAAUGAAAUUUGUCAGGCCGCCAUGGACACGCCCUUUAACGAAACCUCAAGAUCUUCGCAAUUUAAGAUCGCAAAAGGCUUUAGAUUACACUGACCAAGUUUGGUGUUGAUCUGAAUAAAUAUCUAGGAGGAGUUCGUUAAAGUACAACCCCUGAAAAUGGCCAAAACAACACUAAUUUUGCAGAGAAAAUUCCAAAUAACUGACUUCCUGUUGGGAUUCGGACUUCGUACCAAGAGACUUUUUCGUAGAUAUUGAUGGGUUACAUGUGUGUACCGAUUUUUGUACAUGUACGUGAAACAUAGCUCAAGGCGCACUCCGUUUAAAGUGUAUACGCACUCCGUUGAAAGUGUAUAGGUGGCGCUAUUGAGCCAUUUUGCCACACUCGAUGGAAUAUUGGCCUUCAGAUCUGUCCAGGCCAGGACCCUUAUCACACAAGUGAAGUUUGGGCAAGAUCGGACAUUUUAUGUCUGAGUUAUAACAUCUUUUAUUCCAAUGGCAAGACAUUGAACUUCAUCACGGCGCCAUGGACACACCUUUUAACAAAAACUCAAGAUCUUCACAACUAAACAUCACACAGGUCUUUAGAUUAGACUGAUCACAAAAAAGACACUGAUGUCAUAAAAUUUCUAGGAGUAGUUUGUCACAGUGUAAAAUAUGUAACUUCCUGUUGCCAAUAGGUGGCGCUAUGACUAUAACUGAAUAUUGGCAUGUAGAUCUGUUCAGGUCAAGAGUCUUAUCCAACAUGUGAAGUUUGGGGCAGAUUGGACAUUGUAUGUCUGAGUUACAGCAACUUCCUUUUUCAUGGCGAAACAUCGAAAUUUGUCAGGCCGCCAUGGACCCGCCCUUUAACGAAACCUCAAGUCCUUCGCAAUUUAUUAUCGCAAAGGGCUUUAGAUUACACUGACCAAGUUUGGUGUUGAUCUGAAUAAAUCUCUAGGAGGAGUUCGUUAAAGUACAACCCCUGAAAAUGGCAAAAACAACAGCAAUUUUGAAGGGAAAAUUCAAAAUAACCGACUUCCUGUUGGGAUCCGGAUUUCGUACCAAGAGACUUUUUUGUAGGUAUUGGAGUGUUACAUGUGUGUACCAAUUUUUGUACAUGUACGUGAAACAUAGCUCGAGGCGCACUCCGUUGAAAGUGUAUAGGUGGCGCUAUAGAGCCAUUCUUCCACACCCGGUGGAAUAUUGGCCUGAAGAUCUGUUCAGGCCAGGACUCUUAUCACACAUGUGAAGUUUGGGGAAGAUCGGACAUCUUAUGCCUGAGUUAUAACAUCUUUUAUUCGCAUGGCGAGACAUCGAACUUCGUCGCGGCGCCAUGAACAAGCCUUUUAACGAAAACUCAAGAUCUUCACAACUGAACAUCGCACAGGCCUUUAGAUUAGACUGACCACAAAAAAGACAUUGAUGUCAUAAAAUUUCUAGGAGUAGUUCGUCGCAGCGUAAAAUAUGUCACUUCCUGUUGCCAAUAGGUGGCGCUAUGACUAUAACUGAAUAUGGGCAUGUCAAUCUGUUCAGGUUCGGAGUCUCAUCAAACAUGUGAAGUUUGGGGCAGAUUGGUCAUUGUAUGUGUGAGUUAUAGCAACUUCAUUUUUCAUGGCGAAUCAUCGAAAUUCGCCAGGCCGCCACGGACACGCCCUUCAACGAAAAGUCAGGAUCUUCGCAAUUUAACAUCGCAAAGGCCUUUAGAUUAGGCAUACCAAAUUUGGUGUUGAUUUGAAGAACUCUCUAGGAGGAGUUCGUUAAAAUACAACACAUGGAAAUGACCAAAAUUACACAAAAUAUGCUCAUAAUAUUAAAAAUAACCGACUUCCUGUUGGGUUUAGAAUUUCGCUCCAAGAGUCUUUUUUGUAGGUAUUGGUGUGUUACAUAUGUGUGCCAAUUUUCGUGCAUGUACGUGAAACAUAGCUGGAAGGCUGUUGAUUUUCUUGGUAUAGGUGGCGCUGUCGAGCCAUUUUGCCACACCCUCUUCUGAAUCCUAUAUCAGACGAAAAUUUUCACCAGGUUUGACGCGUGUGCAAAGUUUCAUGACUUUUUGAGCAUGUUAAAGCCCUCAAAAAUGCGAUUCAUUCGGGAGAAGAAGAAGAAGAAGAAUAAAUAUAGCUGCAAGCAGCGAUGGCGGGCUCAAGCCACCAAUGCCAUCGCCACCCCGGUGGCAUCAGGUAAACUGUGGCCAGCGGGCACAUGCAUUCACAAUAUCCCUCUGGCAGUGAGGUUUUAAAGGAUAUGGCGGUUAAAGGGUUAAUCCGAAUCAUCUAGACUUUAAAAUCACAUUCACAGAACAAUAUAUAUAUAUAUAUA
ensembl:lncRNA